rnacentral:rRNA from 1 species
GCGUACCAGUCCUUAACUGACGCUAAAGCUCGAAAGUGCGGGUAUCGAACAGGAUUAGAUACCCUGGUAGUCCGCACGGUAAACGAUGGAUGCCCGCUGUUUGCGAUAUAUUGUAAGCGGCCAAGCGAAAGCGUUAAGCAUCCCACCUGGGGAGUACGCCGGCAACGGUGAAACUCAAAGGAAUUGACGGGGGCCCGCACAAGCGGAGGAACAUGUGGUUUAAUUCGAUGAUACGCGAGGAACCUUACCCGGGCUUGAACUGCCGGUGAACGAUACAGAGAUGUUGAGGCCCUUCGGGGCGCCGGUGGAGGUGCUGCAUGGUUGUCGUCAGCUCGUGCCGUGAGGUGUCGGCUUAAGUGCCAUAACGAGCGCAACCCCUUUCUUCAGUUGCCAUCAGGCUAUGCUGGGCACUCUGGAGACACUGCCACCGUAAGGUGUGAGGAAGGUGGGGAUGACGUCAAAUCAGCACGGCCCUUACGUCCGGGGCUACACACGUGUUACAAUGGGUGAUACAGAGAGUUGGGUGCCGGCAACGUCGCUCUAAUCUUCAAAGUCAUCCUCAGUUCGGAUUGGGGUCUGCAACCCGACCCCAUGAAGCUGG